rnacentral:rRNA from 1 species
UAGGGAAUCUUCCGCAAUGGGCGAAAGCUUGACGGAGCAACGCCGCGUGAGUGAUGAAGGUCUUCGGAUCGUAAAACUCUGUUAUUAGGGAAGAACAAAUGUGUAAGUAACUAUGCACGUCUUGACGGUACCUAAUCAGAAAGCCACGGCUAACUACGUGCCAGCAGCCGCGGUAAUACGUAGGUGGCAAGCGUUAUCCGGAAUUAUUGGGCGUAAAGCGCGCGUAGGCGGUUUUUUAAGUCUGAUGUGAAAGCCCACGGCUCAACCGUGGAGGGUCAUUGGAAGCUGGAAAGCUUGAGUGCAGAAGAGGAAAGUGGAAUUCCAUGUGUAGCGGUGAAAUGCGCAGAGAUAUGGAGGAACACCAGUGGCGAAGGCGACUUUCUGGUCUGUAACUGACGCUGAUGUGCGAAAGCGUGGGGAUCAAACAAG